rnacentral:tRNA from 1 species
GGGGAUAUAGCUCAUUGGGUAGAGCACUUGCCUAGUAUGCGGAAGAUCCUGGGUUUGAUCCCCAACACCACCA